ACUCAAAUGAAUAGACGGGGGCCCGCACAAGCGGUGGAUCAUGUGGUUUAAUUCGAAGCAACGCGAAGAACCUUACCUGGGUUUGACAUCCUCUGAAUAUUUUAGAGAUAGAAUAGGCCCGCAAGGGACAGAGUGACAGGUGCUGCAUGGCUGUCGUCAGCUCGUGUUGUGAAAUGUUGGGUUAAGUCCCGCAACGAGCGCAACCCCUGUCUUUGGUUGCCAUCAUUAAGUUGGGCACUCCAAAGAGACUGCCGUCGUUAAGACGGAGGAAGGUGGGGAUGACGUCAAGUCCUCAUGGCCCUUAUAUCCAGGGCGACACACGUGAUACAAUGGUAGGUAUAAAGGGUAGCGAAGUGGCGACACGGAGCCAAUCUCAAAAAACCUAUCUCAGUUCGGAUUGGAGUCUGCAACUCGACUCCAUGAAGUUGGAAUCGCUAGUAAUCGCGGAUCAGAACGCCGCGGUGAAUACGUUCCCGGGCCUUGUACACACCGCCCGU
rnacentral:rRNA from 1 species